GUGUAAAAUUAUAAAAAAAAAUAUAACUCUAAAAAAAUUUAGGAUAAAAGCCAAGGAAUAAAUGCAAGUGUAGACGACAAAUUGCUGGCAGCGUGAAUAAAAGGUGGUUGGCUGAAGGACACCGCACCGAGGGCGGACUGAAAAGGAUUUGCAAAAAGAAAAG